GACCUCGGGAGCUUAGCGGUCCAAAGCAGCGGGGCGUAAAUCUGAAGACCUGGGUUCGAAUCCCAGUCGAGUUCA